rnacentral:rRNA from 1 species
AAUCAACGCUGGCGGCGUGCCUCAGACAUGCAAGUCGAACGAUUAAACUUUCCUUCGGGAAAGAUAUAAAGUGGCGCACGGGUGAGUAACACGUAAGUAAUCUACCUUCGAGUGGGGAAUAACGUCCGGAAACGGACGCUAAUACCGCAUAAUGCAGCGGCACCUAAUGGUGACAGUUGUUAAAGAUUUAUCGCUUGAAGAGGAGCUUGCGGCAGAUUAGCUAGUUGGUAAGGUAAUGGCUUACCAAGGCUACGAUCUGUAACCGGUCUAAGAGGACGGGCGGUCACACUGACACUGAAUAACGGGUCAGACUCCUACGGGAGGCAGCAGUCGGGAAUUUUGGGCAAUGGGCGAAAGCCUGACCCAGCAACGCCGCGUGAAGGAUGAAGUAUUUCGGUAUGUAAACUUCGAAAGAAUGGGAAGAAUCAAUGACGGUACCAUUUAUAAGGUCCGGCUAACUACGUGCCAGCAGCCGCAGUAACAC